GAAACUGUCAUUGCAAAAUUUUGGGUC
rnacentral:piRNA from 1 species